CCUCCUUAUACGAUUUAGAACUUAUUUGUUCGUAGUGUCCACACAGAUGAUUGUUAGUUAGUUUUACCCAUUGGGUUUAACUGAUUAAUAUGCUCUUUAAAAAUUUGGAAAAGCUGAUAAUAAAAUUCUGAUAAAUAUUCGUAUUUAUCAAGAGUUUUCAAAAGUAAAAAAGAAUGAUAGCAGUAUCAUUCAGUGCCAAUUUAAUCAUUCAUGAUUAAUUGGUAUCUACUUUAGUAUUCAAUAUUAACUUCUGGCGAAGUUAAACUGUCACUAACAAAGACCCGUUUGGGUUGUAUGGUUAAGUGACUAAGCGUACACGGUGG
rnacentral:misc_RNA from 1 species